CUCUCCGAAAUAGCUUUAGGGCUAGCCUCAAGUGAUGAUUAUUGGAGGUAGAGCACUGUUUGGACGAGGGGCCCCUCUCGGGUUACCGAAUUCAGACAAACUCCGAAUGCCAAUUAAUUUAACUUGGGAGUCAGAACAUGGGUGAUAAGGUCCGUGUUCGAAAGGGAAACAGCCCAGACCACCAGCUAAGGUCCCAAAAUAUAUGUUAAGUGGAAAAGGAUGUGGCGUUGCCCAGACAACUAGGAUGUUGGCUUAGAAGCAGCCAUCAUUUAAAGAGUGCGUAAUAGCUCACUAGUCGAGUGACACUGCGCCGAAAAUGUACCGGGGCUAAACAUAUUACCGAAGCUGUGGAUUGUCCUUUGGACAAUGGUAGGAGAGCGUUCUAAGGGCGUUGAAGCAUGAUCGUAAGGACAUGUGGAGCGCUUAGAAGUGAGAAUGCCGGUGUGAGUAGCGAAAGACGGGUGAGAAUCCCGUCCACCGAUUGACUAAGGUUUCCAGAGGAAGGCUCGUCCGCUCUGGGUUAGUCGGGUCCUAAGCUGAGGCCGACAGGCGUAGGCGAUGGAUAACAGGUUGAUAUUCCUGUACCACCUAUAAUCGUUUUAAUCGAUGGGGGGACGCAGUAGGAUAGGCGAAGCGUGCGAUUGGAUUGCACGUCUAAGCAGUAAGGCUGAGUAUUAGGCAAAUCCGGUACUCAUUAAGGCUGAGCUGUGAUGGGGAGAAGACAUUGUGUCUUCGAGUCGUUGAUUUCACACUGCCGAGAAAAGCCUCUAGAUAGAAAAUAGGUGCCCGUACCGCAAACCGACACAGGUAGUCAAGAUGAGAAUUCUAAGGUGAGCGAGCGAACUCUCGUUAAGGAACUCGGCAAAAUGACCCCGUAACUUCGGGAGAAGGGGUGCUCUUUAGGGUUAACGCCCAGAAGAGCCGCAGUGAAUAGGCCCAAGCGACUGUUUAUCAAAAACACAGGUCUCUGCUAAACCGUAAGGUGAUGUAUAGGGGCUGACGCCUGCCCGGUGCUGGAAGGUUAAGAGGAGUGGUUAGCUUCUGCGAAGCUACGAAUCGAAGCCCCAGUAAACGGCGGCCGUAACUAUAACGGUCCUAAGGUAGCGAAAUUCCUUGUCGGGUAAGUUCCGACCCGCACGAAAGGCGUAACGAUUUGGGCACUGUCUCAACGAGAGACUCGGUGAAAUCAUAGUACCUGUGAAGAUGCAGGUUACCCGCGACAGGACGGAAAGACCCCGUGGAGCUUUACUGUAGCCUGAUAUUGAAAUUCGGCACAGCUUGUACAGGAUAGGUAGGAGCCUUUGAAACGUGAGCGCUAGCUUACGUGGAGGCGCUGGUGGGAUACUACCCUAGCUGUGUUGGCUUUCUAACCCGCACCACUUAUCGUGGUGGGAGACAGUGUCAGGCGGGCAGUUUGACUGGGGCGGUCGCCUCCUAAAAGGUAACGGAGGCGCUCAAAGGUUCCCUCAGAAUGGUUGGAAAUCAUUCAUAGAGUGUAAAGGCAUAAGGGAGCUUGACUGCGAGACCUACAAGUCGAGCAGGGUCGAAAGACGGACUUAGUGAUCCGGUGGUUCCGCAUGGAAGGGCCAUCGCUCAACGGAUAAAAGCUACCCCGGGGAUAACAGGCUUAUCUCCCCCAAGAGUUCACAUCGACGGGGAGGUUUGGCACCUCGAUGUCGGCUCAUCGCAUCCUGGGGCUGUAGUCGGUCCCAAGGGUUGGGCUGUUCGCCCAUUAAAGCGGUACGCGAGCUGGGUUCAGAACGUCGUGAGACAGUUCGGUCCCUAUCCGUCGUGGGCGUAGGAAAUUUGAGAGGAGCUGUCCUUAGUACGAGAGGACCGGGAUGGACAUACCUCUGGUGUACCAGUUGUCGUGCCAACGGCAUAGCUGGGUAGCUAUGUGUGGACGGGAUAAGUGCUGAAAGCAUCUAAGCAUGAAGCCCCCCUCAAGAUGAGAUUUCCCAACUUCGGUUAUAAGAUCCCUCAAAGAUGAUGAGGUUAAUAGGUUCGAGGUGGAAGCAUGGUGACAUGUGGAGCUGACGAAUACUAAUCGAUCGAAGACUUAAUCAAAA
rnacentral:rRNA from 1 species